CUACAAAUAAAUCCGUUUACUUACUACUUUUGAUUUGGAAGCGCCGCCUUCAACUCCUUAAAACUCCCUUAUAUGUACUCCAAAAGUAAUAAAUUUUUUGUGAAAGAUGUAGGCCUUGAAAUUUCCAUUCCAGUCGCAACUUUCGAUCUUCAAAAGGUACUGUAAAACUCCUCAUACCAUCAAAAGAAUAACAGUAUGUCUUAAAUAAAUACCUUAACUUCAAACGGCUAUAACUUCUUCACCCUAAUUCCAAAUCCUCUAAUUUUUGUACAUAAAUUGUACCUCAAACUUUGACCUUUAUAACCCUAGCUUGUAAUCUCCAAAUGCCUCUUUGAAGUCGCCGAAACCCUUCUUAAGGUCACGGGCAGCCUCUUCAAAGCCCAUUGGACAUGGUAUUCGAU
rnacentral:lncRNA from 1 species